rnacentral:misc_RNA from 1 species
CUUGCAUCUGCAUGCAGGACCCUUUGCAAUAUUCCAUAUAAAUUAAGACUUCAUAUAUCACUACUUCUUUUUCUUGCAAAAAUUUGUUUCUUUUGGUGUAUUAAUAUUCAAAACCAUGAUAAACAAACAGUUAUCUCUGAAGUUGUCAUCAUUCAGUGUGCAUAAAUUAUGUAGCCAUGCUUUUAAAAUUCCCACUCAUUUUAUCUAGUAAAUAUAGAGUGAAAUGCAAACAAACAUCUAAUUGCUUGAUGCUAUUGUCUAAGGUGUCAAAUUGUGGGAUGAGUGA